ACGCAAGGCGGUCGGACGUGUCGGCUGGCAAAUUGCUUUAUUGACUAACAUCUGGAUGUGGGUUUUCGCUAAUAUGUGUUUCCUUGGUUCUGAGCUCUAUUUGAUUUGACCAUUAGCUAAUCGUUAACCCAACUCUCGCUCUCACUGAAUAGUUAUUAGCGUCUUCAUUGUUGGGCUCAGUUUGGUAAUACAUAUGUGUUGCCAUUUUCGUUGAAUUUUAACAUUUCGUCGCCUUAAUGAUCAAAACUCAAUUUGGCAUAGAAUAAUCUUUAAAAAUAUUUGUCAAGUUCAAACAUUCUUUAGUCAAGGUCGUAGCAGCCUAUUCAUUCGGAAACAUUUCUCAACUAGGCGACGAUUACUUUGACUCCUAUUGUAAAUAUUAUUUACUAUUUACUUUUAACAAAUAUUGAAUUUUUAUGGUUAUGCGUAUCGGCUGUCCCUCCAUCAAUAUGGCAACAGUGUGGCAGCACUGAGACUCGCGAUAACCACAUAAUAUUUUCUGCCCCCAUCUCUAGCUCGCAUUAAACAAUAAGCAAAAGAACGAUAAAAAUAAAAGUUAUUAGACAAUAAACACUCUUAACCAAAUCAGGGCAUAAUUCCAAAACCUCAAAAUUGAGAAUUUAUAAAAUACCACGCAAUCAAUUUUCGGCAAAAAACAAACCUCGAAUCAUAAUAAUGACUGGAUCAUUUAGUGUAAAA